AGGUAUAUAUUAUUAUCAUUGUAUCUACAUUUAUUCUAUAUUUGUAACAAUGAAUAAAAUGUUAUAAGGAAAAUUGAGGCGUUAGGCGACGGUCGUAUUACAAUUUUGAUUGUAUAUUUAAUUGGUUCAGUCCAUAAUUAUGUAUCUUGUGAAUUUAUUAUUUAUAUUGAUGGUUGAAAAAGUGUAUACUUAUAAAGAAUAUGCCCCACCGCAACCUGAAACGGGAUUCAUAUUACAAAAAGAAGGAAAUAAUUAUAUACAUCAAUGUAAUGUGGCAAUUAACUUAGAAUGGUGGCACUAUACGCAAUGUGGGCAUACAAUUGUUAUGGGUUAUAUUAUAAUACCAUUAUAAUACCAUAUCUCAACUACCAGACCAACGUACGACUAGUAGUCAAAAUGGACAUAGAGGCAUUUGAUAAUAAUACAAGCCUGAGAUGUGGAAGGAUUAUAUGGGAUGGCUUUGUAACAACGAAUAUUCAAGAAACUACAGUAUUACGAGUGAAAUCUACAAAUCUGACUGAGGCAGAAUACAGUACAAACACACAAAUUCCAUUGUGUAUUAUAGGCUUGGUGAAACAUUAAAUAUAUCGUGUAAUGGAAAAUACUUAUAUCAUGUAAAUGCGAACAACAGCAUUACAAAUGUCACAAAAAUAAAUUCAUCCCAUUAUUAUGUCAUUAACAAUAAUAUAAUAUCAAGAGAUGAUAAUAAAUCGAUGUUAUAUUGUAUUGAUUUUACAUGUAUGCCUAGAUAUUACGAUAUUUCAACUUUCGAUUAUAUAAAUGAAUGCAAUAGAAAAAUAUUAAAAAAAUAUAGUUUAAUAGUCAUACAUGAUCUCAAUAAGGGGACAAAAGAAAGAACAAGUGUCAUAAUUAUUACCUCGACGUGUACGGUGGGGGUAUUUCUGUUCUCUGUUGUGAUGUUACUAGUUUAUUGGAAGUACAUGUGCAGGCGAAAGAAAGUUACAGAAAACCAUGUACUAACAUAUGAUUCAACUCCUCAGUACGAGACCAUCACUCACCAAAUAAGAAAAGAGAAUUUAAAAGACGACGUCUCCAUGUAUAUGUCUUCACUAGUUCACUAUGCAGAAUUGAAUUUGCAAGAACAAACAAAUACAGUGAUAGGUAAUAUUAGAGAGGAUUCGCCUUACUAUAGUGAAGUAAUUGUAAAACGAGUAAGCUGAGGAAAUGAAAGUAAGUAUAUUGUGCAGUGGCGGGCUAAAAGGUGAGAGAAGGGAUGACCGGCGCAAGCCUUUGAUUCUGAAAGGCCUCCAAAUGUCACCAUUUACCUUAUACAUAUCCAUAUUAUACGUAUGUUUAUUUAAGCCAAAUUUAAGUUUCAUUUGCAAGAUUUGAACUAAAUAAAUAAAAAAAAUAAACACUUAUAUAUACAAAUAUGAAUUGAGUAAAUAGCUUGUAACAUUACAUAAUUUCUUAAACUAGAAGCUUCAUUCAGCUUUACCGCCCGGACCUCUGACAGACUUAGACCACCACUGAUAUUGUGAAAUCAAAGUCAUUAGAUGAUUAAUUGUACAUAAACUAUGAAAAACUAAAUUUUCCUUUAACUAUUGGAGUGUUUCGUCACUUUUUUUAUGCAUCUUAGCAAACAAAUUAACGGCUCACCUGAUGGAAAAUGGUAACCGUCACCUAUAGACAUGAACAAUACUAUUGACAUUGCACAGUAUACUGUGUCGCCCAUAAUACCCUUUAUGCCUAGCCAUUUCUGGUACCUAAGAUUAUAUGCCUUCAAACCAAAACACAGUCGUGUAAACACGACUGCAUUACGGCAAAAACAUGAAAAAGACAAAGGUAUCCCAACAAACAAUUUAUAUACAAAGUUAAAUUAUGAAAAAAAAGAAAUAUUUGUAUAAAAGAAAAAACAGAUCGGUUCAAUAGCUUAAAUAGAUUUAUGAGACGCUGUACGUAAGAAUCUAACCACGUUAUAGAAUAUUAACGUUUACGCUGUUACGUAUUGUUCUGGUCAUGCGGACGAUUGACCGAAAUAAAAAAUUACCUAUAUCCUAUAGGUAAUUCUCCAUUCCAUACAGUCUGUGUAAACCAAAUUUUAUGAUGAUCGAGUUAAAGCCGUUAAAGCGCUAUAAGAUAACAAAAAAACUUACUUCACAUUUAUAAUAUUAGUAAGUAAGUAAGGGUUGGUUGCAAUCGAAUUAAUAUUUUUUUUUCAUGAAAUAAUGUUUAAUAUUGUAAUGUAAUAACUAACGAAUUAACUUACGUGUAAUUUACUUACGAAACUUUUAACAAUAAGACAUGUUUAAUGACAUUUGUAAUAGACAUACUAAUGGAUUCCAAAUACAUUAUAUAUUAAUACAAUAC